rnacentral:ncRNA from 2 species
UACAGAGGCCACAAGCGUUAGGCGGAAUCACUGGGCUUAAAGCGUGUGUAGGCGGGAUGGUAAGUACCUUGUGAAAUCCCACGGCUCAACCGUGGAAAUGCUUGGUAUACUGCCGUUCUUGAAUCACCUAGGGGCAGCUGGAACUGAUGGUGGAGCGGUGAAAUGCAUAGAUAUCAUCAGGAACGCCAAUGGUGCAGACAAGCUGCUGGGGGUGUAUUGACGCUGAGGCACGAAAGCUAGGGGAGCAAACGGG